UCACAUUUAAUGUUAUUUUUUUUAGAAAAAAAUGAGAGCAAUCCACAGUUUCUCACCGAAUUUUAACACAGCUCACUCAUUCGGUUUCUCACUUUCUCUAUUUUACAUGAAAUCCCUAAAAUUACUCAUCAUUACUCCACGUCGCAACUUGCAAACUUGAAACUACUAUUUAACUUAUACUUAUAAAUAUAUUAUAUGAAGAACCUAUUACAUGGCAGAGCAUAUAUCAAAAUGGAGAGCUGAAAACAGUAUCAAACCUAAUUGAUGGAGUAAAUAAGACGUGGAAAAUGGAGGUCGUUACUUGUACCUUUCAAACGGACAUUGCGCAAAAACUUUUACAGAUUCCACUUGAAGUAACUGAUAGUGAAGACUUGCUCGUUUGGAAGGGUGAACCGUCCGGAGAAUUCUCAAUACGGAGCGCUUAUAAACUAUUACAAGAAGCUAAUCCGGAUCCUAGUAAUUUAUUACAGACUGAUUUCAAAGAUUUCUACAGAAAAUUAUGGAAUAUACAACUUCCAUAAAAAAUUCUACUUUUGACUUGGUGGAUAUCCUGGAACUAUAUUCCUACACUAGUCAACCUACGAUGCAAACGAUUAACCACAAAUAUAAGAUGCCCUCGAUGUGGCUCCGGGGAAGAGAACAGCCUCCAUGUCUUCCAGCAAUGCCCUAUAAGUAUGGAAAUUUGGCAGAAUAUUAAUAUGUCUUGGGUUACAUCAUAUCGAGAUCAAAAUAUCAGGACAUGGCUUACUUGGGUCUUCGUAAAAGGAACCAAGGAACAGUGUCAGGUGUUUUGUUGUGCCUUAUGGGUUUUAUAGAGCUCGCGAAAUCAAAUGGUGCAUGAAAAAAAGUUAGUAUCAGGAAGGGAUCUAGUACAGAAAAUACAGACUUAUUUAGCUAAACUUGAAGGAGUAGGAAAGGAAAAACGUACCUUAAAGACUGUCAGAAUACAGAGACAAAGGAAGGAGAAAACAAAGGACACAAUACAAUUUGAUGCAGCUUUUGAUGCAAACAGGUAUAGAUCGGCGUCGGGGAUCAUUGUACGAGAUCGGAUGUGAGAGAUAAGAGUUUUAAAAACAACCCUUCAUUCCAACAUAUCAUCUUCGUUUCUUGCAGAGGCAUCUGUAUGCCUACAAGCAAUCAAGUUAGGCACUUUUAUGGGUCUCCGAUCAGUUACAAUAAUGGGGGACUCAAAGACAGUCAUUAAAAAAUGUCAAACGACUGAUAUGGACAAGUCGAUUAUUGGACCGGUUAUCAGAGAUAUCCAGAGUUAUAGUUCUCGUUUUCAAGAAAUCAUUUUCCAAUUCAUUCAAAAAUCAGAAAAUUAUCAAGCUCAUAAGCUGGCGAAAGAAGCAUUAAUAAAAUGGGAAGAGAGGAACCUGGUUAGAGACGAGCGAAUCUGCAAUGAAGGAGCCCUGGAGGAGGAAUGGUCAAGAAACCCGGAUUGAAGAGUUUUCAAAAGAAAAGGAAUUCGAAAAUGAUAACAGACUGAAGGAAAAUCUUUUUGGUAACUGUUAUCCUCUAAACAGAUGUGACGAUUCAGCAUGGAAAGGUGGGAUUUAAUUGCGUCCAGCUGUUAGAUUUG
rnacentral:lncRNA from 1 species